UACGUAGGGUGCAAGCGUUAUCCGGAAUUAUUGGGCGUAAAGAGCUCGUAGGCGGUUUUGUCGCGUCUGCUGUGAAAACUGGAGGCUCAACCUCCAGCCUGCAGUGGGUACGGGCAAACUAGAGUGCGGUAGGGGAGAUUGGAAUUCCUGGUGUAGCGGUGGAAUGCGCAGAUAUCAGGAGGAACACCGAUGGCGAAGGCAGAUCUCUGGGCCGUAACUGACGCUGAGGAGCGAAAGCAUGGGGAGCGAACAGG
rnacentral:rRNA from 1 species